rnacentral:rRNA from 1 species
GAUGAACGCUGGCGGCGUGCCUAAUACAUGCAAGUCGAGCGAACGGACGAGAAGCUUGCUUCUCUGAUGUUAGCGGCGGACGGGUGAGUAACACGUGGAUAACCUACCUAUAAGACUGGGAUAACUUCUAGAAACCGGAGCUAAUACCGGAUAAUAUUUUGAACCGCAUGGUUCAAAAGUGAAAGACUGUCUUGCUGUCACUUAUAGAUGUAUCCGCGCUGCAUUAGCUAGUUGGUAAGGUAACGGCUUACCAAGGCAACGAUGCAUAGCCGACCUGAGAGGGUGAUCGGCCACACUGGAACUGAGACACGGUCCAGACUCCUACGGGAGGCAGCAGUAGGGAAUCUUGCGCAAUGGGCGAAAGCAUGACGGAGCAACGCCGCGUGAGUGAUGAAGGUCUUCGGAUCGUAAAACUCUGUUAUUAGGGAAGAACAUAUGUGUAAGUAACUGUGCACAUCUUGACGGUACCUAAUCAGAAAGCCACGGCUAACUACGUG